UUAAGUUCUUCUCGUUUCAGUCAAACUCAGAGAAGUCCCCAUGUAUUUUAUCGCCAUGAUUUAAUCAAUCAACUUCAGCACAAUCAUGCCCUAGUUACUUUGGUAGCAGAAAACCUUGCAACUUACAUGGAAAGCAUGAGACUGUAUGGCAGAGACAAUGAAGACUAUGACCCACAAACUGUGAGAGUGGGAAGUAGAUAUAGUCAUGUUCAAGAAGUCCAAGAACGUCUUAACUUUCUUAGAUUUUUAUUGAAGGAUGGCCAGCUAUGGCUGUGUGCUCCUCAGGCAAAACAAAUAUGGAAGUGCUUAGCAGAGAAUGCGGUUUAUCUUUGUGACCGUGAAGCCUGCUUUAAGUGGUAUUCCAAAUUAAUGGGAGAUGAACCAGACUUAGAUCCU
rnacentral:lncRNA from 1 species